rnacentral:rRNA from 1 species
AUUUUGGACAAUGGGGGAAACCCUGAACCAGUCAUUCCGCGUGUAUGAUGAAGGCCUUCGGGUUGUAAAGUACUUAUGGCAGAGAAGAAAAGGUACCUCCUGAUACGAGGUACUGCUGACGGUACCUGCAGAAUAAGCACCGGCUAACUACGUGCCAGCAUCCUCGGUAAUACGUAAGGUGCAAGCGUUAACCGGAAUUACUGGGCGUAAAGCGUGUGUAGGCUGUUCGGAAAGAAAGAUGUGAAAUCCCAGGGCUAAACCUUGGAACUGCAUUUUAACUGCCGAGCUAGAGUAUGUCAGAGGGGGGUAGAAUUCCACGUGUAGCAGUGAAAUGCGUAGAUAUGUGGAGGAAUACCGAUGGCGAAGGCAGCCCCCUGGGAUAAUACUGACGCUCAGACACGAAAGCGUGGGGAGCAAACAG